rnacentral:rRNA from 1 species
GACGAACGUUGGCGGCGUGCUUAAUACAUGCAAGUCAACUGAAGCAGUGGUAGCAAUAUCGCUGUGGAGGUGGCGCACGGGGGAGUAACACGUAGGUAAUCUGCCUUCAGGUCUGGCAUAACUCCGGGAAACCGGGGCUAAUAGCAGAUGAUGCAGCGGCUCGACAUCGAGACAGUUGUUAAAGCUAUGGCGCCUGAAGAUGAGCCUGCGUCUGAUUAGCUAGUUGGCGGGGUAACGGCCCACCAAGGCAACGAUCAGUAGCUGGUCUGAGAGGAUGAUCAGCAACACUGGAACUGAGACACGGCCCAGACUCCUACGGGGGGCAGAAGUAAGGAAUAUUGCUCAAUGGGAGAAAUCCUGAAGCAGCGACGGCGCGUGAGGGACGAAGGGCUUUUGCUUGUAAACCUCUGUAGUGAGAGAAAAAAAUCCCAAUCUUUGGGACAUGAUGGUAUCUAAAAAGUAAGCCCCGGCUAACUACGUG